UUGGAGGGCAAGUCUGGUGCCAGCAGCCGCGGUAAUUCCAGCUCCAAUAGCGUAUAUUAAAGUUGUUGCAGUUAAAAAGCUCGUAGUUGAAUUUCGGGAUUAGUACGUUGGUCGUGCCUUCGGUACGUACUGGUGUUACUGAUUCCCACCUUCUGACGAACCAUCAUGUCAUUAAUUUGGUGUGGUGGGGAAUCAGGACUGUUACUUUGAAAAAAUUAGAGUGUUUAAAGCAGGCUCGCGCUUGAAUACAUUAGCAUGGAAUAAUGAAAUAGGACGUUGACCCUAUUUUGUUGGUUUCUAGGAUUGACGUAAUGAUUAAUAGGGAUAGUUGGGGGCAUUAGUAUUCAAUUGUCAGAGGUGAAAUUCUUGGAUUUAUUGAAGACUAACUACUGCGAAAGCGUUUGCCAAGGAUGUUUUCAUUAAUCAAGAACGAAAGUUAGGGGAUCGAAGACGAUCAGAUACCGUCGUAGUCUUAACCAUAAACUAUGCCGACUAGGGAUCGGAUGAUGUUAUUUUUAAUGACUCAUUCGGCACCUUACGGGAAAC
rnacentral:rRNA from 1 species